rnacentral:misc_RNA from 1 species
AAGGACAGGCUCUUGCAUAUUUGCUGAAAAAAUUUGAAGCUAAUGGAAAAGUGCCUAUCAAUACUCUUGUGUGUGGUGACUCUGGUAAUGAUGCUGAACUCUUCAGCAUUCCUGAAGUAUAUGGUGUGAUGGUUUGUAUCUUCUUAAGCUUUUAUUAUUUGCAAUCUGCGAUAUGCUCAUAAGUUUAAUGGUUCUCUUGUCUAGUCACUUAUAUUUUGAAUAUGUAGGUUAGCAAUGCCCAGGAAGAAUUAUUGCAGUGGCAUGUGGAGAAUGCAAAGAGUAAUUCUAACAUAAUUCACGCAACAGAGAGAUGUGCAUCUGGGAUCAUACAAGCCAUUGGAAGCUUUAGGCUUGGUCCAAAUGUUUCUCCAAGAGACAUUAAAGACUUCCAAAAGUGCAGAGCAGAAAUUUUUGGUCCCAGUCAUGAAGUUCUGAAGUUUUAUUUGUUUUAUGAAAGAUGGCGACGUGCAGAAGUUGAGAAAUCCAUAGAAUAUAUGAAAAGUUUAAAAUUAGUACUUGUAAGUAUGAUUUGGAUCCUGUUUCUUCAAGAGUAGAAUUCAAAUAACAUUUACAUUUCUCUAGGCAUUCUGUUAGAUUCAGAAAUUUAACCUGUGACAGGACAUGUUUUCUGAGUUCAAGCCGUGAAAGAGUUGUUGGAACCAAAUAAUAAUAAUUGUGGAAAAAAGGAGAGAACUGAUAGUUUUCUGUUAACAAAAUGCAUAUUCUCGUUUGAGAAGAAUUGCAGGACACUUUUUGUGUGGCUGAUAACAAAUGGUUGGGCAAUGGUUUGUGAACUUGAUCUCAAGUCUCCAAUGGUGUAAUCAAUUUAUGCCUCUUUAUUCCUUGCUGAUUAAUGGUGAAGAUAUUCUUAUUAUUAGAAUUAUGGUUUGCUACUUGUUCCUGGUUAUACAUAAAUUAAAAAUUGAAUGAGCUUCUCAUGAAUUACCUAUUUUUUUCGCUCAUUGAACUGUGGAGGGCUUAAAUUUUUGUAAAGUUUGAUAGUUCAUCCAUUUUCUGCUUUUACCUUUUCUUUAUAAGGUUUUUUCCUUCCUGUACAAGUUGCCAUUGCAAUUUUUUCUAGCCAAGGACUGAUACAUGGCUAAGUGCUCCCCUCCCCUUUUCUGUUUUCUCAGUUUCCAUUGGGCACUUUUGUCCAUCCCUCAGGAGUUGAGCAACCUGUUGACCAUUGCAUAGAAGCAAUGACAAGGUUGUAUGGGGAUAAGCAAGGAAAGCAAUAUCAGGUUUGGUUGGAUCAGGUGUCUUCAGCGCAAGUUGGUUCAGACACAUGGCUUGUGAAGUUCUAUAAGUGGGAGUUAUCAGGGGAGGAGAGGCAUUGCUGUUUGACCAGAGUCUUGCUGAGCUCUAAGGUAUCAAUGCUUUCCAUUUGCAACUGUCACUUCCCUUCUUGAUCUACACAGGUUGGUGGUUUCAUGAUAGAUACUUUCAUUGUGAUUGGAACCAAAUAAAUAUAAAAUUCAUUUCAAUUGCAAAUGAAUUUCUUAGAAAAUUUGUUCUAAUAAUUGAUAUCUUACAUAUUAAUACAUAAAUUUUAUUUUAAGUUAUGAAACUAUUAUGAAAACUUUCAAAACUACAAAUCUUAAGAAUUCAUUUGGAAAUUGUAUUAAUUUGGUUCAAACAUAACCAAUUAAGCAGAAUUAAAAACAUAAAAUUCCAAAAUGAAUUGCUCACAAUUCCAAUAUGUUAAAUAUGUACUUGAAAAGCAAAUAAGCUCUUUACGUAUUAUUUAUUGUGGGUUUGGGCAGUCUGAGGUGCCAGAUGGUUUCACAUGGAUGCACAUGCAUCAGACUUGGUUGGAUGGUUCAGCACCGGAAGAGCUAACAACUUGGUUAUUCUAGGUUUCAAAUCAGUUCAGAAUUUAUUUGUUUUGACCCAAAUAUUGGUGUUUAUUUCCUGGCUAGGCAGCUGGAAACAAUCAAUUGAUUGGCUGAUUUUGCUGCCAAAUUUCUCGGCAAUGUAGCAAUGUCGGUACAUCAAGAAUGGAUUGCAACACUUGAAUACUGAGUACAGGAACUAGAGACCACCAAGGCUAGGUCAUUGAUGGGCGUGCAUUAAAUGAACUAUAGCCCAGCAAAAGUGGGAGAAGCAAGUGUCAUUCGCAAAGCUUGCCUUGUAGCCCAGCAGGUAAGUUUAGUCGUCUUUGCAACAUCUUCUGCUAUUGUAGCAGCAGCAAUCCAAGCUCAAGAAGCUAGAUCAUUGAUUCAGAAGCUAUAUUUUAGAAGAGAAAAGAUAGCUGUUAGCUUUUUGUAGAGAAGCUACUAUAGGUCGUGCAAGUAGGAUAGCGAAUAAAGCUGCAGAAUAGCUGGCAAAGAGCUGUUCUAACUUUUUUGUUCCCAUAUUGCUGUUCUUUAUGUCCCGCAAAGGAUGUUGAAGAAUAUUUUGUAUUCUGAUACUGCUAUGCUGCCUUGUGAUGCAAUGCA